rnacentral:rRNA from 1 species
UACGGGGGGGGCAAGCGUUGUUCGGAAUUACUGGGCGUAAAGGGCUCGUAGGUGGCCAAUUAAGUCAGACGUGAAAUCCCCAGGCUUAACCUGGGAACUGCGUCUGAUACUGGUUGGCUUGAAUUCGGGAGAGGGAUGCAGAAUUCCAGGUGUAGCGGUGAAAUGCGUAGAUAUCUGGAGGAACACCGGUGGCGAAGGCGGCAUCCUGGACCGACACUGACGCUGAGGCGCGAAAGCUAGGGGAGCAAACGGG